UUGUAAACUGGGGAACUUGAGUGCAGAGGAGGAGAAAGGAAUUCCACGUGUAGCGGUGAAAUGCGUAGAGAUGUGGAGGAACACCAGUGGCGAAGGCGACUCUCUGGUCUGUAACUGACGCUGAGGAGCGAAAGCGUGGGGAGCGAACAGGAUUAGAUACCCUGGUAGUCCACGCCGUAAACGAUGAGUGCUAAGUGUUAGGGGGUUUCCGCCCCUUAGUGCUGCAGCUAACGCAUUAAGCACUCCGCCUGGGGAGUACGGUCGCAAGACUGAAACUCAAAGGAAUUGACGGGGGCCCGCACAAGCGGUGGAGCAUGUGGUUUAAUUCGAAGCAACGCGAAGAACCUUACCAGGUCUUGACAUCCUCUGACAAUCCUAGAGAUAGGACGUCCCCUUCGGGGGCAGAGUGACAGGUGGUGCAUGGUUGUCGUCAGCUCGUGUCGUGAGAUGUUGGGUUAAGUCCCGCAACGAGCGCAACCCUUGAUCUUAGUUGCCAGCAUUCAGUUGGGCACUCUAAGGUGACUGCCGGUGACAAACCGGAGGAAGGUGGGGAUGACGUCAAAUCAUCAUGCCCCUUAUGACCUGGGCUACACACGUGCUACAAUGGACAGAACAAAGGGCAGCGAAACCGCGAGGUUAAGCCAAUCCCACAAAUCUGUUCUCAGUUCGGAUCGCA
rnacentral:rRNA from 1 species